AAUGCGGUAAAAUGCCAUAUAUGGGGCUCAUAACCCAAAGGUCAGAGGUUCGAAUCCUCUCCCCGCUACCA
rnacentral:tRNA from 2 species